UACGUAGGGGGCAAGCGUUGUCCGGAUUUAUUGGGCGUAAAGAGCGUGUAGGCGGCCAGGUAGGUCUGCUGUGAAAACUCGAGGCUUAACCUCGAGCUGUCGGCGGAAACCAUCUGGCUAGAGUCCGGAAGAGGAGAAUGGAAUUCCCGGUGUAGCGGUGAAAUGCGCAGAUAUCGGGAAGAACACCAGUGGCGAAGGCGGCUC
rnacentral:rRNA from 1 species